UGGGGAAUUUUGGACAAUGGGCGCAAGCCUGAUCCAGCCAUUCCGCGCGAGUGAAGAAGGCCUUCGGGUUGUAAAGCUCUUUCGCAAGGGAAGAAAACUUAGGCUCUAACAUAGCCUGAGGUUGACGGUACCUUGAUAAGAAGCACCGGCUAACUACGUGCCAGCAGCCGCGGUAAUACGUAGGGUGCGAGCGUUAAUCGGAAUUACUGGGCGUAAAGCGUGCGCAGGCGGUUUUGUAAGUCAGAUGUGAAAUCCCCGAGCUCAACUUGGGAACUGCGUUUGAAACUACAAGACUAGAAUAUGUCAGAGGGGGGUAGAAUUCCACGUGUAGCAGUGAAAUGCGUAGAGAUGUGGAGGAAUACCAAUGGCGAAGGCAGCCCCCUGGGAUAAUAUUGACGCUCAUGCACGAAAGCGUGGGGAGCAAAC
rnacentral:rRNA from 1 species